AAAUCCCCCAACACGAUCCAACUUGAUCUGACUAAAAGAUCUUAUAUAAUGGAAAAGCUAUCAAACAUCAUAGAAAUUUUAGCUUACGUUCAAUAUUACGUACAUUUGAGAUAUGGUAUUGUCAUGAAAUCCCCCAACAUGGACAAACUCAAUAUUGUAAAUGAACACCCUAUCCUAACCUGAGUCACUUUCUUCUCCUCGCCUUUCGCCCUCACCUUCCGCCUCCACUAAUUCUCCAUCGGAGGUUAGGAGUAUUGACAUGCUUUCAUCAAAACCCAAGACAUUUCUCCCUCUCGUCUUGAGCAAUAGCUUCUGGUGAUCUCGUUUUCUCACAGUGCUCUCUUCCCCCUUUCUCUCUCUUCCACAAGCAACGCCACACUAGGUCAAUUUUCGCAAUCGCCAUGACUGUGAUGACUCCUGCUCCCAUUGACCAGUAGCAGGAGGACAAGAAGAUGCUUCUCUCGCACAUGGAUUUGGCUGAGAAUAAUCACCAACCCAUGGAAGCGCUUUGGUUCACAGUGGUGGUGUGCAUGGUGGACAUUAUUAUGCUUUUAUCAGGCCAACUCUAUCUAAGCAGUGAGUUAUGCAGUGAAACAAUCAAGUUGGGAUUUUUGAAGAUGAGUGCUAGCAGGAGGUGAGACCACGCCGUGCCUUGCUUUUGGGUAGUGGUGAUCAUCGGGUGGGUACGGGCGGAUUCGGGCCCAAAAAUCCCAACCUGCAGUAAUCCAAAGAGAGAAACAUCAUGCCCGUCUCCGCCCAAACAAGCUUCGAUUUGUGUCGAUCAUGAACUUUAAGUGGCCUUAUUCAAUUUUUGUGCCCAAAUCAAUUUUUGUUACCAGAUUUUAGUUUGUUGUUUACCUUUUUUCCACUUAUUAAAUUCUCAUUACCGCAACCACAUGUUGGCCAUUGUAGAUACUAUUGUCAAUCAGAUGCCAAAUGUUAAUCUUUAA